ACUGCUCAGUAACACGUGGAUAACCUGCCCAAGGGUCUGGGAUAACCCCGGGAAACUGGGGAUAAUACCGGAUGGAUCACUAGUGCUGGAAUGCUUGGUGGUUUAAAGGCAACGCCUUUGGAUGGGUCUGCGGCGGAUUAGGUUGACGCCGGUGUAACGUACCGGCGUGCCUGUAAUCCGUACGGGUUGUGGGAGCAAGAGCCCGGAGAUGGAUUCUGAGACACGAAUCCAGGCCCUACGGGGCGCAGCAGGCGCGAAAACUCUACAAUGCAGGCAACUGCGAUAGGGGGACAUCGAGUGGCAUCCACCUUGGGUGCCUGUCCAACCGUCUAAAAGACGGUUGUUAGCAAGGGCCGGGUAAGACCGGUGCCAGCCGCCGCGGUAAUACCGGCGGCUCGAGUGGUGGCCGAUAUUAUUGAGUCUAAAGGGUCCGUAGCCGGCUGGAUAAGUCUCUUGGGAAAUCCGAUAGCUUAACUAUCGGGCUUUCAGGAGAUACUGUCCGGCUCGAGACCGGGAGAGGUGAGAGGUACUUCAUGGGUAGGGGUGAAAUCUUGUAAUCCUUGAAGGACCACCAGUGGCGAAGGCGUCUCACCAGAACGGAUCUGACGGCAAGGGACGAAAGCUAGGGGCACGAACCGGAUUAGAUACCCGGGUAGUCCUAGCCGUAAACGAUACUCGCUAGGUGUCAGCCACGGUGCGACCGUGGUUGGUGCCGUAGGGAAGCCGUGAAGCGAGCCACCUGGGAAGUACGGCCGCAAGGCUGAAACUUAAAGGAAUUGGCGGGGGAGCAC
rnacentral:rRNA from 1 species